rnacentral:rRNA from 1 species
UACGAAGGGUGCAAACGUUGCUCGGAAUCAUUGGGCGUAAAGCGCACGUAGGCGGCUUUGCAAGUCUGACGUGAAAUCCCUCAGCUCAACUGAGGAAGUGCAUCGGAAACUGCAAGGCUUGAGUACUGAAGAGGAUCGCGGAAUUCCCGGUGUAGAGGUGAAAUGCGCAGAUAUCAGGAAGAACACCCGUGGCGAAGGCGGCUCUCUGGGACGGUACUGACGCUGAGACGCGAAAGCGUGGGGAGCGAACAGG